rnacentral:tRNA from 1 species
GCCGGUGUAGCUCAGUGGUCAAGAGCAGAGGAAUCAUAAUCCUUGUGUCGGGGGUUCAAAUCCCUCCACCGGCA